rnacentral:rRNA from 1 species
AUACGUAGGGGACGAGCGUUGUCCGGAAUUACUGGGCGUAAAGGGCGCGCAGGCGGAUAUUUAAGUCAGCUGUAAAAGGCAUGAGCUCAACUCAUGUAUGCGGUUGAAACUGGGUAUCUAGAGUGCUGGAGAGGUAGGCGGAAUUCCCGGUGUAGCGGUGAAAUGCGUAGAUAUCAGGAAGAAUACCAGUGGCGAAGGCGGUUUGCUGGCUGCAUACUGACGCUGAAGCGCGAAAGCCAGGGGAGCAAACGGGAUUAGAUACCCCGGUAGUCCUGGCAGUAAACGAUGUAUGCUGGGUGUGAGACUAGCGAUAGUUUCGUGCCGAAGUUAACGCGAUAAGCAUACCGCCUGGGGAGUACGGUCGCAAGAUUGAAACUCAAAUGAAUUGGCGGGG